AAAUAAAGGUCCCAAAUAUGUUACAUUGUUCACCCUAAAAUUAAAUUUAGCUAUACAUAUUAAUGAAAAAAGAAAAAGAAAUUAUGAAAGACAUCAUCGGAAGUUGACAGAACGUAAAUAAUUUCCAAUUAUGCUUUCUGCCGUCUUUGCCGCUUACGAGUAAAUCCUUUCCUCAACUGCUGCCUUUUUUAAUGUAUCUCUCCAAAAACAUGCCUCAAUUUCCGUGUAUUAUCAUUGCACUUGACAGUACUAUCUCUAUAUUAAUUGUAGCCAACAACUUCUUUCCUUCAAUCGCCACAAAUUAAUUUCAAUAGUAACUAGUAAGUCAGCCCUCAAAUAUGUGGCAAAAUUCUAUAAUAUUGGCUCUCAAUUUCCAUGCGCGUCUCCUCACAUAUGUGUGUAAAUUGUAUAAUAAUGGCUGAAUCUCUCCUCAAUUCCCGUGCGUCUCUUCUGUCAAAUUCCUCUCCUUCAAU
rnacentral:lncRNA from 1 species